GUAGUGGCGGGCAUGGUGGCGCCAGCAUGUGCCAAAGAAAGCAACGGAAGAAUGCUCCUGACCUUGAGAACCAAGGUGAAAAUGGCAUCAUCGCCCAGGUUUUCCCGCCAUGUGUCAUAUGUUCAAACUGCAAUAACUACCCAUAACAGUCAACCAAAACAUCAUGACCAUCGUCAAAAGUCUGAUGCAUUCUCUGAAAAUCUCUUGCUUCUCUUGAAGCAAUGCAAAUCCAUCCGUCCCGUCCAGCAAAUCCAUACCCAAAUACUUAUUAAUUCCAUUUACAAGCACAACUUUCUCCUUGCAAAACUCAUUGCUCUAAAAGACUUCAGCUAUUCCCUUCAGCUCUUCUUGCAUCUUCCCCAUCCUAAUGACUAUGCAUUCAACGUUUUCAUUAGAGGGCUCACGACAACGUGGGGAAAAUUUGAUCUUGCAUUGCAAUUUUACUGCAAAAUGAAGUCUUUAGGUGUAAAACCGGAUAAUUUCACGUACCCGUUUGUGUUUAUUUCCUGUGGCAAUCUUUUGGACUUUGGGCAUGGUAGAUUAGCUCAUUGUGAGGUGUGGAAAAAUGGGCUGUGGUUGAAUUGUCAUGUGUGUCAUUCUUUGAUCACGAUGUACUCGAGAUUUGGUGAGUUGAGUUUUGCACGGAAAGUGUUUGAUGAAAUUCCGGUUAGAGAUUUGGUGUCGUGGAAUUCAAUGAUUUCUGGGUAUUCCAGGGCUGGUUUUGCUGGAGAGGCGGUGGAGUUGUUUUAUAAAAUGAGGAAUAAAGAGGUUGCACCUGAUGAAAUGACUCUUGUGAGUGUUCUUGGUGCUUGUGGGGACUUGGGGAACCUGGACUUGGGGAGCUCUAUUGAGAAGUAUGUUGUGGAGAAAAGCAUUGAGAUGAAUUCUUACAUGGGGUCAGCUUUGAUUGACAUGUAUGGGAAAUGUGGGGAUUUGGGCUCUGCAAGGAGGAUAUUUGACAAUAUGGGGAAGAAAGAUGUGGUUACUUGGAAUGCCAUGAUUACUGGAUACGCACAAAAUGGCUUGUCAGAUAAAGCAAUGUGCUUAUUCAAUGCCAUGAAAGCUGCAGGGGUGGAUGUGGAUAAAAUCACUGUGAUUGGAGUGUUGUCUGCAUGUGCUUCAGUUGGAGCUUUGGACUUUGGAAAAUCUAUAUACAAGUAUGCAUCACAAAGUGGCUUAACGGAUGACAUAUAUGUUGGUACUGCAUUGAUUGACAUGUUUGCUAAGUGUGGGAAUCUGGACCUUGCAUUUCAAGUUUUUGGAGACAUGCCCAUAAAAAAUGAGGUAUCCUGGAAUGCAAUGAUCUCUGCUCUUGCUUUUCAUGGGCAAGCUCAAGAGGCUCUGUCAUUGUUUGAGCGCAUGUUAAGGGAGGGUGGUAGUACUUCCUGUCCAAAUGACAUCACAUUUGUUGGGCUGCUUUCUGCAUGUGUACAUGCUGGAUUGGUCGAUGAAGGCUGCCACUUGAUUGAUUUGAUGAGCUCAUCUUUUGGUCUGGUUCCGAAAAUUGAACAUUACUCUUGCAUGGUGGAUCUUUUCUCACGUGCUGGACGAGUAUAUGAAGCAUGGAACUUGAUUGAGAAGAUGCCAGAAAAGCCGGAUGAAGUUCUCUUAGGAGCACUCCUUGGUGCCUGUAAUAAAAUUAAAAAUGUUGAUGUUGGUGAGCGGGUAAUGCAGCUUCUCCUGGAGAUGGAGCCUUCAAACUCUGGCAACUAUGUGAUUGCAUCAAAAAUCUAUGCAAAUCAAGAUAGGUGGGUUGAUUCAGCAAGGAUAAGAUUGUUGAUGAGACAGAAAGGCGUAAGUAAGACUCCAGGUUGUAGCUGGAUUGAAAUGGAUAAUAAACUUCUUGAAUUUCAUGCUGGUGAAACUUUACAUAGUGCACAAAAGGUUUAUCAAGUGCUUAACAUGCUGUACAAAGAGAUGAUGAUGGAAGGUGGAAUGUCAGAUUCAUAUGUUCACUUAGUGGAAGAGUAGAACUUUAGAUAUUGGCAGGUUUGUGGAUGGUUCCAUUUGUUUAUUUCUUCUGCUCAAGCUGAAAAUGAGAAAGGAAAUGAAGAAAGAGGAGAUUUACCAAAUAUGUUUGCAUCUACAUUGCUGAGAAUCUAGAGAAGGUGAUGAUUAUCACUGAAAGUUGACAGAAGCGGAUGAGGAUUGAAUAAGAAACAAAUGCUUUGCAGCAUUCGGCCUCAAGGUGAAGCUCUUUCAAUACCAAGGAGAAAUUUCUGUCCCGAACAUUGGGUAUGGGAAUCGCCUAGUAACCAUGUUGAGUCCUCAUUCAGGUAGGAAGGAGUAUAAUAUUGGAGGAAUUGGUAAGUCAACAAACACUGGUUUUCAAUUAAGUGAGAUGCAAUUCUAUUCAGUGAUUUUUGUUAUUAUGUUCUAUACCUUUCUAUCUGCCAUGCUUUUAAGCAAGGUGCUCCUCCAGUGUCAUUAUGAACUGGGUGAGGCAAUCCUACAAUCUCCAACUUGUGUUGGGAUGAAAUUCAGAUAUAUAAAAUUAGAUGUUCGAAAAUAACAG